GUACGGCCUCUCCGAGGUCACAGCUGAGAUCAGCAAGUUUGGCUGUUUAAACAGUUUUGCAAGAAAAGAUGCUUUUGCUGUGGGAUUUGGGGUUGCUUUGGUCGGUUCCGCUUUUUCCCUGCGUCUGAUCCAGGCUGCCUGGAGGUAACCACGGUUUUGCCAAUGAUUUCACUGUAAUGGGAAUUUGAUCUUGAAGUACGCUGAGUUCACAGGCCUUAUAAACUAUAAUAUUUUGCACAUGUCUGCUCUCAAUCCGGACAGCCAGAGGGCUGAAGGUACAUUUCCUCACUGCAAACAGCAUGAAAUAGGUUUUGACUUAAAGGAGAGCCACAUUGCUGACAUUCGUGUCGUACCUUAGGGAGGGAAUGGAAGGAGAAUCGUGACCACCCACACUGUAUUGACUUUACUCCUUCUUUAACUAACUGGCAAACUUCUGAAAAUGUGCACAGUAGCCACUUUCUGAGAUACGAAAGCAAGCUCUAAAUUACGAUCCUCAAAUCACCAAUUCAGAGCCCUUAGAUAUAUAUAUUUUUCUCUGUUUCUUCCACUAUAAUUUCCGGGCUGGAGCUCCGGCCAUUAAUAGCAGCUACAUCAUUACGCUGCCGUGACACUCCGGCAGCACCCUCAUCCAUUUCAGUCAUUGAUCCGCUAAUGCGCGCCGGAUGAGAAAGGAAAAGGUCCCACUCAUUCAUCCUGCCCUCCCUCCUCCUCCUCUCACCAGGUGGCGACCACUCACCCUGUGCUUUAAAUCCCGAUCGGAUUUCAGAUGCUCAGUGUUAAUUGCCUCAGUACAAGGACUGACCCCGGACAGCAAAACUAAAAUUAAGGUAACAGGGCCAUAGAAGUGGGUGAGAUGCUACAGAAGUGGCUCUGCAGCUGCUUCCCGUGGUUACAGUCUGCGGGCAGCAUUGGAAAUGGCAAAUGAGAGCUGGAGCUGUGAAGCACGCAUGGGGUAUGAAGCAAAAGCAAGUCACAGUGCCCAGCAGCAAUGGAUGGGAGUGUUUUAAAGCCAGCUUUGCCACCAGCAGAACUGCAGUAUCAAACAAUGUGCCCUCAUUUGCCUUAGCAAGCAGCCCAUCUGUGCUGUUGCUUCUAACCUCCAUGCCCUUCCCCAGCGCACUGAGUACCCCUCUCUUCCUGCUCCCCCCCCAACCUGACCCCACUAAGACAUACCAGCCGUUUUGUUGCCAUCUCAAGGCAUAAGAAGUGCAGCCUGGGGAUGCAGAGUGCAGGAGACACACAGGGAUGUUCUCAGGCAUACCCAAACCGGCAGCUGACUGUUUCUUUAAAUAAACAGUAUACAUUCAUUUAGCUGAAAAUAGGUCUCCUGUCAAGCUCCUACCCUAGAGCAACUACCAGUUGCACUGUCAAAAUCGCUCUCUGUGGCUCUGAAUAGGUUUCUUAAUGAAAGAGCAACAUUAGCUCUUUAGAACAUUUUGUCCCUGAAGGAUGCAGCAGCAGCAGCAGCCGCUGAAUGAUUUCUGGCUCAGAGAUGCUUACAAAUGGGAGGAAACAUAAUGGUUUAAAAACACGAGUAUCAGCUCCCUGGAACUGCUUUGGAGCAGCGAUUUGGGAAGCCAGGAGAAAAAUGGAUGGUUCAGAGCGGUACCCGCUGAUGGUCGCUGCUUCCACAAGCAUGCUGAGCCCCAGGGAAUAACUGCAUGUGGGCACAGUGUCACCCAACCAAGCGGAGAUGGGAAGGAUUUGGGACAGCACCCAAAGAAAGACACGUUCUGACAAAAUGAAAUUUUAAUGCCCACUGGUUGCUGGAUUAAAUAAUGAUGAGCACCCGAAUGAAACGCUCUGUUUCUAUUCCUGCAGUCUGUUCAUAGUGACUGUCAGGGCGGUCACUUUUUAUUCUGGUUAAACUUGGGGCACUC
rnacentral:lncRNA from 1 species